GCUUGUCUCAAAGAUUAAGCCAUGCAUGUCUAAGUAUAAACAAAUCUAUACUGUGAAACUGCGAAUGGCUCAUUAAAUCAGUUAUAGUUUAUUUGAUAGUACCUUACUACUUGGAUAACCGUAGUAAUUCUAGAGCUAAUACAUGCGAAAAGACCCGACUUCUCGGAAGGGUUGCAUUUAUUAGAUACAAAACCAAUGCGGGGGCAACUCCGGUGUCUUGGUGAUUCAUAAUAACUUUUGCGGAUCGCAUGGCCUUGAGCCGGCGACGAAUCAUUCAAAUUUCUGCCCUAUCAACUUUCGAUGGUACGGUAUUGGCCUACCAUGGUUACCACGGGUAACGGGGAAUUAGGGUUCGGUUCCGGAGAGGGGGCCUGAGAAAUGGCCACCACAUCCAAGGAAGGCAGCA
rnacentral:rRNA from 1 species